rnacentral:lncRNA from 1 species
UAAUCUCAGUGGCAGUGGAGACGUGGCUCAAGGAGCCGGCAAGAAUAGAGCGGAGACCAGGAUCGCCCCAGGCAGGGAAAAAUGACCCAUUCUUUAGAGUGACCUGAAGGUGAUGGAAUCAGUCGGGCGUCCUCCCGGGAGAGGGCUGCCUGCCAGAAACCCAGCGCUCUUGGGUAACUCAGGGACUCCAGUCCCUCACCGGAUGCUGAGCUGUGGGAAGCCCUCACCCCCACACCUUGGGUCCCUAGGCCCCCUCAUCAAGGCAGGGGCCCUGAGUGGCAGGGGCACCCUUGUGUAAAGAAUCGUGCCCCCCCGCAGCCCCCACAGGUAACCUUUUUGAGGACCUAGGGGUCCUGCCCUGGGAACUGGGGUAAACAGGGCAGGUCCAGCCUUCAGCAGCCUCUCCCUGGAGGGGAGACACCCCUCCCCCAUGGCUUCAGUGGAAUUACAAGGGGAACACCCAGGUGGUAUUCGACAGAAGGGAAGAUGGGAGGGCUUCCAGGGUCCACAGACAGCUCGGGGAGUGGGGAGACAGGAAGAACUCAAGCUCAGCUUCUGCCUCCUGACCCCUGGGACCCUCAGGCAGCCCCUCCAGCUUCCUGGGAGUUGUUUCCCCAGGUAGAAUGGGCGGCAGCAGAGCCUCACCUCGUAGUGGGCACAGCGCCCAGGCCAGUGGCUUGCAGUUCCCGGAGUCCUGCAGGUCCCUGGAGAGGCGAGAGCCCUUCUCCCUCCCACCUGCCCUCUUGAGGAACCCAGGGCUGCUCCCUGAGGCUGUAAGCUGGAGCCCUGGAAGGAGGCGCUGCAGGGCUCAGAGCUCCUGGAGCUUCCAGUCUAUGGCAUGAGUAAAGCAGGAGGGUGUCUCCUCCAUCAGACCUGGGUUCCAGCUCACUUUCUCCAAAGCUCCAGAACCUGGCCCAAGGCUGGGCUGUGCUCUGUCCUUAGAAAGAAUGGAUGAGUCACAACUGAAUGAAGAUAGCUGAGCCAGUCUCAGAGCGCUGCCCUGUGUUCAGUAAGCCAAUGCCAGCACCAUGUGACAAAGACACAGCAGUGAGCAGCUGCCCAGCCCCCUUGCGCUGUGUUUGGAAAAGGAAGCUGGCUUGUUCAGGGGUUCCCAGCAGGAUGGGGGCGGGGCAGGCACCAUGGCAGAGUGAGAGUUCUAGAAGAGAAGCUGGUCCUUCCACAGGCUCCCUGGCCUGGGUGCUGCACCAGACAGAGGGCUGGGCAUUGCCCUGCUCAUUUCCCACCCCUGGGUUGCAGCUGGGAACUGUGUGGCCUUCACAGUCCUGUGAGGCAGACUCAGGACUCAGGGAAGAGCUCCCUGACCACAAAGCUCCAGGUGACUCAUGCUGCAGGGGUGCUGUGCUCCAAGGUGCACAGGGUGGCGGAGAUUCGUCUGCAGAGACAUCUCUGCCUGGGACCCUUUCCUGGGGCUCCUAA